GGGCGCGUAGCUCAGUCGGCAGAGCAAAUGACUUUUAAUCAUUGGGUCAGGAGUUCGAAUCUCCUCGCGCCCACCA
rnacentral:tRNA from 1 species